CAAUGGGGUUUUCAUUGAUUUUCAUUAAUUCGAUACGCGUUACCCUCGGCAAAACACUAUUGGCAAUGGACAUGUUUCCUACGGGCAUGGGUCGCAGGCUGCGGUACUACCGAAAGGUCCCCCCUUUGGCAUUCGGGGAAUCCCCGACUUGAGCGAGCAGUCACGUUUUCUGAAAUGAGAGACAGACACGAUACCGCCAAUAUGUAAACUGGUAAGUCCUUGGCGAUUGACGCUUAACAACCUGUAUUUUAUUUUUAAAUAUUUUCCCUGCCAUUCUCUCUCUCUCUCUCUCUCUCUCUCUCUCUUUUUCGUCGCCUCUAUAGAUACGCGUAGGAAAUAUAGGUAAAAGUUCCUCGAAGUCGAGACGCUCAAACUGUAUCGUUCAUUCAUAAUCGCCGGGGCUGAUUCAUCGUUAUCGGUCAGUUGUGCAAUUUUUUUUUUUGGCACACCACGUAUGGAACGGUCUUGGAUCGAAGAAUUUUGGCCGAGCGAAGGAGGGAGAGGGAGAGAAAGAAGGAGGAGAUGAGAGGAGACAGAACGCAGAGAAAACGAUAGAUAGGCGACGGGGAGGAUUGGAAAAAAAGUGUCGUACCGAAAUAGCCCGUGAUUACAUAUAUACAUAGCUGCCCAAAGGUGUUAUCUAAAUACACGAGUUACAUACUGCACGAGAUAUACCCUGAUACGUGUGUCUGCACACACACAGUUUCUCGCAGCAUCGAAAUACCUGUGUUUAUGUACCAACGUGUGUAUUUUUCGCGUAUGUACAUUAUAUAAAGUAUGGCUGUACCAGGAUAGGCAGUACAGCCGGGGUCCCAGUAUCUCAUGUCCACAGUCCGUGGUGGCUCUCGGUAUCACAACGCAUUCUAAAAAUAUAGUUAGCUAUUUAUAACGCGACGUUUUUUCGCGAUGCCAAAGGAAAUGACAAAAAGGCGGUAAAAGGAGCUCGUGAAUUAUCACCGAAAGACGAUGGUCCAUGGGCUACCCCGAAAAUAAUCUGUAAAUAAAUUUCUCGAUAAGUUUGUUGAGAUACUUGAAGGAAAAAAAAAAAAUUAAAUAAAAAAAAAAUUUAAUCGAUAUCUAAAGGAGUAAUAUUGUACAUAACGUGUACGCCGCUUCCACCAGAUACUUAAUUUCUGUCCAUGAACAACACGAUAACAGAGUAACAGCAGUGCGCGGAUUUUAGACAAGCUGCGACGAAGAGGUGGAGCGUCGGGGAGGAAGGAGGGGGAACUAAAGACAGAAGCGCGGAUAAACCAAUUAUAAAUGAAGGACACGAACAGCACCCGUAGCGUCCUGUCUAAAUAUAAAGCGGCAACAAUAAUUAAAGUGUUUGACGAUUUGACAAGCGCGAAACGAAGUCACAUGCGACGAAUGUUGCCUGAACGGAUUAUCAUCUGUUUACACGUGAGAUUUGCGCCUCUUGUCUCUCUGCCGAAACAUUUGCGCAGACCGCGCGACAUGUCAGCUACCAUCGAAUGCCGCGUAGCACACUGCACGCUGUACAGUUUAUGCGCUCCAACCCGAAUGGACUAUUUGGUUUGGCCGGUUUACCGACGCUCACCGAGAGAUGGCACCACGGUCGCCCCGAUACACGGCCUACGCCUUCUCUAGAGUUCCCAUGCUCCUUGCUCUAUUUAGGAUCCUCCGUGGCGAACGGGUGACUCCCGAGAGGAAUCUUGGAGAGACUUUGCAGUAUGGCGUCUCACGACUACGGCGUAACGAAAGAAACUAAAAUAAUUGAUGACGUCAUCACGUGACCCAUUCGUAUUUUCCCUCGAGAUCCAUUAAGAAGUUUCACUCGAAAACUGGACUAGAUGCAAUAACCCUCCACUCUGUACGACUGCGGCUGUGGAGCCUUGGACGAAAUUUCGGUAACGCCUCCCGUAAACGGCAACGGGUUUCAAUGUAAAAAUUGAAUAUACACAGCUCGAAAGACUCUGGGCAAAUGUAUCCAUCAUUGUCGCUCGUGUGCGGGCACCGGCUACGUAAUACGUACAGAUGGCUGACUCACCGAGGG